rnacentral:rRNA from 1 species
UACGUGAGGGUGCGAGCGUUAAUCGGAAUUACUGGGCGUAAAGCGUGCGCAGGCGGUUCGUCGUGUCUGAUGUGAAAGCCCCGGGCUCAACCUGGGAAUGGCAUUGGAAACUGGCGGACUAGAGUGUGGCAGAGGGGGUGGAAUUCCGCGUGUAGCAGUGAAAUGCGUAGAGAUGCGGAGGAACACCGAUGGCGAAGGCAGCCCCCUGGGCUAACACUGACGCUCAGGCACGAAAGCGUGGGGAGCAAACAGG